GUUAUAAUUGUCAUAAAUCUACAAUAUGUCUGACACAUUGUUUUGUAUCUGUCAUGUGUAAUUUGUGCUCAAUAUCAGGAUUUGAGUAAACCUCCUCUCCUCCACCUUCCAUCUAGCCCAUGCCCUGUGGAUAAAAUGAACUGUGUGUGAACUCCAAAUGUCACUUUUGCUUUGACAUCUAAAUUGGUAUAAUAUUCAUUUAUUCAUCAUCCAUCAUUCACUCAUACAUAUUUAUCGGGCACUUUCUUUUAGAAUUGGGCACCAAUUCUAAAAUCAAUUGUGUUCUGAUUAUGCAUUGUAUGCCAGGAUUCCUAGAUUCAUCUGUCCUAAUGUGACUUAUCCAAGCAGAAAAAAAAUUGAAUAUUUUUUCAUCAUUGCAUAUAAUGUUAUUAUAACUAUAUGAAGUUAUAAUAUAUGAAAUUUUUUAGAUCAGUGCAUAUAAUGUUAUAACUGUAUGAAAAAUGUAAGUGGCUAAUAGAAGUGACUUUAACAAAUGGAAAUCUCUACUCUAUGCCUCUCUUUCUCUUUUUCCAGUGACUGUCUUAAUAGUUUUGACAGUCAUGCAUAAACCCAUUUGCCUUUAGCCCUAUAUCCAAUAUAAAUUCGUUUGUCCCAGAUCUUGGUGCAGAUUUUCCUGUGCUUUGUGAGUCCUUCCCCAUCUCUCCACCAGCAUUGUAUACAAGAAUGCAUACAUAACUUUCCCUCCUUAGCCUGCUGCCUGCGCCAUCUUUGGGGAGCCCAAGGUCCAGCUAUUUGGGGCCAGCAGUCCUUCUAGUAGUCAAUGUCACUUGUCCAACUUUCUGAGUAAUCUCAUCAGAGGACUGAAAGUAAGAAGGACUCAUGGACUGCCUCCCAAGCCAGGAUUCCUAGAUUCCUCUAUCCGAAUAUGACUGA
rnacentral:lncRNA from 1 species